rnacentral:rRNA from 1 species
UACGAAGGGGGCGAGGCGUUGUUCGGAAUUACUGGGCGUAAAGGGCGCGCAGGCGGCUCAGACAAGUCAGAUGUGAAAGCCCCGGGCUUAACCUGGGAACUGCAUUUGAUACUACUGAGCUUGAGUACGGGAGAGGAUAGUGGAAUUCCCAGUGUAGAGGUGAAAUUCGGUAGAUAUUGGGAAGAACACCGGUGGCGAAGGCGGCUAUCUGGACCGUAACUGACGCUGAGGCGCGAAAGCGUGGGAGCAAACAGG